CCUACGGGAGGCAGGAGUGGGGAAUAUUGGACAUUGGGCGCAAGCCUGAUCCAGCCAUGCCGCGUGUGUGUAGAAGGCCUUCGGGUUGUAAAGCACUUUUGUUGGGGAAGAAAAGCACUGGGUUAAUAGCCUGGUGUCAUGACGGUACCCAAAGAAUAAGCACCGGCUAACUUCGUGCCAGCAGCCGGGGUAAUACGAAGGGUGCAUGCGUUACUCGGAAUUACUGGGCGUAAAGCGAGCGUAGGCCGUUUGUUAAGUCUGUCGUGAAAGCCCCGGGCUCAACCUGGGAAUGGCGAUGGAUACUGGCGAGCUAGAGUACGGUAGAGGAGUGUGGAAUUCCCGGUGUAGCAGUGAAAUGCGUAGAGAUCGGGAGGAACAUCAGUUGCGAAGGCGGCUCUCUGGACCAGUACUGACGCUGAGGCACGAAAGCGUGGGGAGCAAACAGGAUUAGAUACCCUGGUAGUCCACGCCCUAAACGAUGCGAACUGGACGUUGGGAGCAAUUAGGCUCUCAGUGUCGAAGCUAACGCGUUAAG
rnacentral:rRNA from 1 species